rnacentral:lncRNA from 1 species
ACAGGAGUGUUUGGACAAAUAAAUUAAAUAAUUAUAUUCUCUCACUUCCUUUUUAUUGAAGGCUUGCACUCUUUAUAUCCCAUAAUAGUCUCAUCAAACUCACAUAAAUAUGAGAAUCAAACUAAUGACAUGAUGAUCUUAGAUCUUGAACGUUAACCAUUAAAUUAAGAGUCCGUGGACAGGGUGGUGCCGUGUAAUAAAAGUAUUUUAAGUUAAAUUUUGAAAUAUUUUAACAUUUG